AUUGAACGCUGGCGGCAGGCCUAACACAUGCAAGUCGAGCGAGCGGCGGACGGGUGAGUAAUGUAUGGGGACUGCCCGAUAGAGGGGGAUAACUACUGGAAACGGUGGCUAAUACCGCUUACUAUAGGAUAACCCAUAUGGGAUUAGCUAGUAGGUGGGGUAAAGGAUCACCUAGGCGACGAUCUCUAGCUGGUCUGAGAGGCUGAUCAGGAACAGUGGGACGGAGACACGGCCCAGACUCCUACGGAGGCAGCAGUGGGGAAUAUUGCACAAUGGGCGCAAGCCUGAUGCAGCCAUGCCGCGUGUAUGAAGAAGGCCUUAGGGUUGUAAAGUACUUUCAGCGGGGAGGCGUUAACCGCAGAAGAAGCACCGGCUAAGUCCGUGCCAGCAGGCGGGGUAAUUC
rnacentral:rRNA from 1 species